GACGAACUGUGCAAACGUUAUUCGGAAUCACUGGGCUUGAAGAGUGCGUAGGCGGUUUCGUAAGUAGGGUGUGGAAAGCCCCCCGGCUCAACCGGGGAACUGCGUCCUAAACUGCGGGGCUGGAGUGAGGUAGGGUGUGGUGGAACUUCCAGUGGAGCGGUGAAAUGUGUUGAUAUUGGAGGAACGCCGGUGGCGAAAGCGACACACUGGGCCUUGUCUGACGCUGAGGCACGAAAGCCAGGGGAGGCAAACGGG
rnacentral:rRNA from 1 species